rnacentral:rRNA from 1 species
GGGUUGUGAGGUUAAGCGACUAAGCGUACACGGUGGAUGCCCUGGCAGUCAGAGGCGAUGAAGGACGUGCUAAUCUGCGAUAAGCGUCGGUAAGGUGAUAUGAACCGUUAUAACCGGCGAUUUCCGAAUGGGGAAACCCAGUGUGAUUCGUCACACUAUCAUUAACUGAAUCCAUAGGUUAAUGAGGCGAACCGGGGGAACUGAAACAUCUAAGUACCCCGAGGAAAAGAAAUCAACCGAGAUUCCCCCAGUAGCGGCGAGCGAACGGGGAGCAGCCCAGAGCCUGAAUCAGUGUGUGUGUUAGUGGAAGCGUCUGGAAAGGCGCGCGAUACAGGGUGACAGCCCCGUACACAAAAAUGCACAUGCUGUGAGCUCGAUGAGUAGGGCGGGACACGUGGUAUCCUGUCUGAAUAUGGGGGGACCAUCCUCCAAGGCUAAAUACUCCUGACUGACCGAUAGUGAACCAGUACCGUGAGGGAAAGGCGAAAAGAACCCCGGCGAGGGGAGUGAAAAAGAACCUGAAACCGUGUACGUACAAGCAGUGGGAGCACGCUUAGGCGUGUGACUGCGUACCUUUUGUAUAAUGGGUCAGCGACUUAUAUUCUGUAGCAAGGUUAACCGAAUAGGGGAGCCGAAGGGAAACCGAGUCUUAACUGGGCGUUAAGUUGCAGGGUAUAGACCCGAAACCCGGUGAUCUAGCCAUGGGCAGGUUGAAGGUUGGGUAACACUAACUGGAGGACCGAACCGACUAAUGUUGAAAAAUUAGCGGAUGACUUGUGGCUGGGGGUGAAAGGCCAAUCAAACCGGGAGAUAGCUGGUUCUCCCCGAAAGCUAUUUAGGUAGCGCCUCGUGAAUUCAUCUCCGGGGGUAGAGCACUGUUUCGGCAAGGGGGUCAUCCCGACUUACCAACCCGAUGCAAACUGCGAAUACCGGAGAAUGUUAUCACGGGAGACACACGGCGGGUGCUAACGUCCGUCGUGAAGAGGGAAACAACCCAGACCGCCAGCUAAGGUCCCAAAGUCAUGGUUAAGUGGGAAACGAUGUGGGAAGGCCCAGACAGCCAGGAUGUUGGCUUAGAAGCAGCCAUCAUUUAAAGAAAGCGUAAUAGCUCACUGGUCGAGUCGGCCUGCGCGGAAGAUGUAACGGGGCUAAACCAUGCACCGAAGCUGCGGCAGCGACGCUGAUGCGUUGUUGGGUAGGGGAGCGUUCUGUAAGCCUGCGAAGGUGUGCUGUGAGGCAUGCUGGAGGUAUCAGAAGUGCGAAUGCUGACAUAAGUAACGAUAAAGCGGGUGAAAAGCCCGCUCGCCGGAAGACCAAGGGUUCCUGUCCAACGUUAAUCGGGGCAGGGUGAGUCGACCCCUAAGGCGAGGCCGAAAGGCGUAGUCGAUGGGAAACAGGUUAAUAUUCCUGUACUUGGUGUUACUGCGAAGGGGGGACGGAGAAGGCUAUGUUGGCCGGGCGACGGUUGUCCCGGUUUAAGCGUGUAGGCUGGUUUUCCAGGCAAAUCCGGAAAAUCAAGGCUGAGGCGUGAUGACGAGGCACUGCGGUGCUGAAGCAACAAAUGCCCUGCUUCCAGGAAAAGCCUCUAAGCAUCAGGUAACAUCAAAUCGUACCCCAAACCGACACAGGUGGUCAGGUAGAGAAUACCAAGGCGCUUGAGAGAACUCGGGUGAAGGAACUAGGCAAAAUGGUGCCGUAACUUCGGGAGAAGGCACGCUGAUAUGUAGGUGAAGUCCCUCGCGGAUGGAGCUGAAAUCAGUCGAAGAUACCAGCUGGCUGCAACUGUUUAUUAAAAACACAGCACUGUGCAAACACGAAAGUGGACGUAUACGGUGUGACGCCUGCCCGGUGCCGGAAGGUUAAUUGAUGGGGU